rnacentral:rRNA from 1 species
GUACACGAGCGGCGAACGGGUGAGUAACACGUGGGUGACCUGCCCUCAGCUCUGGGAUAAGCCCGGGAAACUGGGUCUAAUACCGGAUAGGACCUGGCCUCGCAUGGGGUUGGGUGGAAAGUUUUUCGGCUGGGGAUGGGCCCGCGGCCUAUCAGCUUGUUGGUGGGGUGAUGGCCUACCAAGGCGACGACGGGUAGCCGGCCUGAGAGGGCGACCGGCCACACUGGGACUGAGACACGGCCCAGACUCCUACGGGAGGCAGCAGUGGGGAAUAUUGCGCAAUGGGCGAAAGCCUGACGCAGCGACGCCGCGUGGGGGAUGACGGCCUUCGGGUUGUAAACCUCUUUCGACCGGGACGAAGGGUGACUGACGGUACCGGUAGAAGAAGCACCGGCCAACUACGUGCCAGCAGCCGCGGUAAUACGUAGGGUGCGAGCGUUGUCCGGAAUUAUUGGGCGUAAAGAGCUCGUAGGCGGUGUGUCGCGUCGGUCGUGAAAACUUGGGGCUUAACUCUGAGCUUGCGGUCGAUACGGGCAUCACUUGAGUUCGGCAGGGGAGACUGGAAUUCCUGGUGUAGCGGUG